rnacentral:rRNA from 1 species
AGUGAACGCUGGCGGUAGGCCUAACACAUGCAAGUCGAACGGCAGCACAGUGCUAGCUCGUGCUUACGGCGGGCGACUGGCGGGCGGGGCCGAGAAACCUCCGAAUCUACUUGUUAUAAGGGGCUAACGCAGGGACACAUACGCUAAUACCGCAUACGGCCUACGGGUGGGAGCAUCGGACCUUCCGCCCUUGCGUGAUCCUAUGAGCCUAGGUCGGAUUAGCUAGUUGGCGGGGUAAAGGCCCACCAAGGCGACGAUCCGUAGCCGGUCUGAGAGGAUGAUCAGCCACACUGGAACUGAGACACGGUCCAGACUCCUACGGGAGGCAGCAGUGGGGAAUAUUGGACAAUGGGCGCAAGCCUGAUCCAGCCAUACCGCGUGUGUGAAGAAGGUCUUCGGAUUGUAAAGCCCUUUUGGUUGGGAAGAAAGGCAGUAGGUUAAUACCUUGCUGUUCUGACGUUACCAAAAGAAUAAGCACCGGCUAACUUCGUG